UGGGGAAUUUUGGACAAUGGGCGAAAGCCUGAUCCAGCAAUGCCGCGUGUGUGAAGAAGGCCUUCGGGUUGUAAGCACUUUUGUCCGGAAAGAAAUCCUUGGCUCUAAUACAGUCGGGGGAUGACGGUACCGGAAGAAUAAGCACCGGCUAACUACGUGCCAGCAGCCGCGGUAAUACGUAGGGUGCAAGCGUUAGUCGGAAUUACUGGGCGUAAAGCGUGCGCAGGCGGUUUGCUAAGACCGAUGUGAAAUCCCCGGGCUCAACCUGGGAACUGCAUUGGUGACUGGCAGGCUAGAGUAUGGCAGAGGGGGGUAGAAUUCCACGUGUAGCAGUGAAAUGCGUAGAGAUGUGGAGGAAUACCGAUGGCGAAGGCAGCCCCCUGGGCCAAGUACUGACGCUCAUGCACGAAAGCGUGGGGAGCAAACAGGAUUAGAUACCCUGGUAGUCCACGCCCUAAACGAUGUCAACUAGUUGUUGGGGAUUCAUUUCCUUAGUAACGUAGCUAACGCGUGAAGUUGACCGCCUGGGGAGUACGGUCGCAAGAUUAAAACUC
rnacentral:rRNA from 1 species